UACGUAGGGGGCAAACGUUGUCCGGAUUUAUUGGGCGUAAAGAGCGUGUAGGCGGUUUGGUAGGUCCGCUGUGAAAACUCGAGGCUCAACCUCGAGACGCCGGUGGAAACCAUCAGGCUAGAGUCCGGAAGAGGAGAGUGGAAUUCCUGGUGUAGCGGUGAAAUGCGCAGAUAUCAGGAAGAACACCCGUGGCUAAGGCGGCUCUCUAGUACGGUACUGACGCUGAGACGCGAAAGCGUGGGGAGCGAACAGG
rnacentral:rRNA from 1 species